UCCUCCUCUCUCAAGCAUCAUUUUUGAAGCUUGGAUUACUUUGGAGAAGUAGUUCUAUAAUGAGCUACCCUCUAGAAAUUUAUAGGCAGUAUGGUUAUAUCUAAACCUAGAUGUAAUAAUAGUAAAAUCAUCUUUUAAGGAAUGAUUGUACUUGCCUCAACCCACUCAUGUUAAACGUGGGUGACCUCAGAUCAGGUAGGGAUACCCGCUGAACUUAAGCAUAUCAAUAAGCGGAGGAAAAGAAACCAACAGGGAUUGCCUUAGUAACGGCGAGUGAAGCGGCAAAAGCUCAGAUUUGAAAUCUGGUGUCAUUUUGGCACUCGAGUUGUAAUCUGUAGAGGAGUAUUCGAGUGUAGCUUUGGCUUAAGUUCCUUGGAACAGGACGUCAUAGA
rnacentral:rRNA from 1 species